rnacentral:rRNA from 1 species
AUUGAACGCUGGCGGCAGGCCUAACACAUGCAAGUCGAACGAGUGGCGGACGGGUGAGUAAUGUCUGGGAAACUGCCCGAUGGAGGGGGAUAACUACUGGAAACGGUAGCUAAUACCGCAUACCAUCGGAUGUGCCCAGAUGGGAGUAGCUAGUAGGUGGGGUAACGGCGCACCUAGGCGACGAGCCCUAGCUGGUCUGAGAGGAUGACCAGCCAAACUGGAACUGAGACACGGUCGAGACGCCUACGGGAGGCAGCAGUGGGAAAUAUUGCACAAGGGGCGCAAGCCGGAUGGAGCCAUGCGGCGGGUAUGAAGAAGGCCGUCGGGUUGUAAAGUACUUUCAGCGAGGAGGCGUUACUCGCAGAAGAAGCACCGGCUAACUCCGUGCCAGCAGCCGCGGUAAUUC